rnacentral:rRNA from 1 species
AGCGAACGCUGGCGGCAGGCUUAACACAUGCAAGUCGAGCGGGCCUUUCGGGGUCAGCGGCGGACGGGUGAGUAACGCGUGGGAACGUGCCCUCUGGUUCGGAAUAACUCAGGGAAACUUGAGCUAAUACCGGAUACGCCCUUUUGGGGAAAGGCUUGCUGCCGGAGGAUCGGCCCGCGUCUGAUUAGCUAGUUGGUGAGGUAACGGCUCACCAAGGCGACGAUCAGUAGCUGGUCUGAGAGGAUGAUCAGCCACACUGGGACUGAGACACGGCCCAGACCCCUACGGGAGGGAGGAGGGGGAAAUAUUGGACAAGGGGGGAAAGCCUGAUCCAGCCAUGCCGCGUGGGUGAUGAAGGCCUUAGGGGUGUAAAGCUCUUUUAUCCGGGACGAAAAGGAGGGUGCCGGAGAAAAAAGCCCCGGCGAACUUCG